rnacentral:tRNA from 1 species
GGUGGGGUGGCCGAGUGGUUAGGCAAAGGUCUGCAAAACCUUUCACGCGAGUUCAAUUCUCGCCCCCAUCU